GACGAACGCUGGCGGCGUGCCUAAUACAUGCAAGUAGAACGCACAGUUUAUACCGUAGCUUGCUACACCAUAGACUGUGAGUUGCGAACGGGUGAGUAACGCGUAGGUAACCUGCCUGGUAGCGGGGGAUAACUAUUGGAAACGAUAGCUAAUACCGCAUAAUAUUAAUUAUUGCAUGAUAAUUAAUUGAAAGGUGCAAUUGCACCACUACCAGAUGGACCUGCGUUGUAUUAGCUAGUAGGUGAGGUAACGGCUCACCUAGGCGACGAUACAUAGCCGACCUGAGAGGGUGAUCGGCCACGCUGGGACUGAGACACGGCCCAGACUCCUACGGGAGGCAGCAGUAGGGAAUCUUUGGCAAUGGACGAAAGUCUGACCGAGCAACGACGCGUGAGUGAAGAAGGUUUUCGGAUCGUAAAGCUCUGUUGUAAGAGAAGAACGGGUGUGAGAGUGGAAAGUUCACACUGUGACGGUAUCUUACCAGAAAGGGACGGCUAACUACGUG
rnacentral:rRNA from 1 species